GGAAACCUCUUACACAACACAUAACUCUAAAAAAAAAAAAAUAAUAAAGGAAAGAAGAAAACUAAGAGUAAGAGCUCCAAAAAAUGUCACAGAUGGGGUUUCUUUAUUGGAAAAUAAAGAAAUAACGAAUAAAUAAAAGGAGGAUGAAUUCUAUGCGAUGCUUGUCAAGUAAAAAGCCCUCUGCUGUAAAUCACAACCUUUUGCUCUCGUUGUCUGUUCGACCUUGAAUUUUUCUCAAAAACAUAGAAAUAUUAUAUAUUCAGAACUUUUUUUUUUUUUUAUCAAUAAAUAAAUAAAAUAAAACCCUCAAUUUUGGAUGGAUUCAUUGGUAGGUUUAGGUAGCAGCCGAAGGACUAUACAUUUUGGUAGGUAAGCCCACAUGCCUUUCCACCCAAAUAAAUUAUAUUUUCAAAAAAUAAAUAAUUAAGUAAAGGGAAAAGGGUUGAAAAAGAUAUUAUUUUUAUUUUGUUUUACAACAUAAACAAUAUAAUUUUAGAAAGAAAACUGUAUUGUAUUUAACAAAAGAAUAAAACCUAACUUGUCUGCUUUUACCAAGUAAUAUUACUUGAAUGCAACCUCGAUCAACUGCCAUUAUUAUCUUACUUCCCAUUUUUAUAUGCAUAAAAAUAUGAGGAUAUUUUUAUAAAUAAUAAAAUAAAUUAAAAUAUUUAUAAGUUAUAGAAAAAUUUUAGAUUUUAUCGAUGAUAUAAAUCGAUAGACUUUUAUUAUUGUUUGUCAAUGUUAUCGAUAGAAACAUAUCAUUGUUUAUCAAUAUUUAUUAUUUAUCGAAUCUGACAUUUUAGAAUAUGUCAUAAAUAUUUUAUCGAAUUUUCUAUUUUUAAUAAUUCUUCUAUCUUUGAUUUCUAUAACUCAAAAUACUUCAAAUAAAUUUUUUUUACGAAAAAGAAAAUAGUUUGAUUGCAUGUAUGCAACAGAAAAUUCUUAGGAUGACAAGUAUGUAGGUUUUUUCUAAUACAUAUUUUAGCUGAUGAUUCAAUUAAUAUUAUUUACUUAUUUAUUUUAUCUCCCGAAGUGAACAACCUAAAAAGGGGAAAACAUUAGUGAGUAAAAACAUUAAACACCCUUAUUUAAUUUACUCGUGUGGAGACAAUUUUUUUCAAAGGUCAGAAAUCUGUCGUAAAAAUAGGAGUCAUUUUUUAAAUAUUUCAAUUUUACUUUUUUUAUUUAUUUUUUCUUUUUUGCUGCAAUUUUUUUAUCGUCCUUAUUUUUUUCUUUUUUUUUUCAUUGUAUUUUCUUUCCCUCGUUUUUCUUCUUUUCUAUUAUUUUACCUCGUUUAGAUUUGGUUAACCAAAUUUAAUUCUUUUCUAUCGUUUUUCUUCUUUUUCUCUUUUUUGCUACGAUUUCUUUCCAUUGUCUUUUUUCCUUUCUUCCUCUUUUUUUACGUCGUUUAGAUCAGGGUAAAUCGUGUAUAAAUAAUCUUGAAAAUAAUCAUUUAGACUGAAGUAACCAAAUCUAAACAAUAUAUAUAUAUAUAUAAACUUUCGUGUAGCAAAAGAAUUAAUUAUUUAACCAAACCUAAACAAUCGUUAAAAAAAUCUUGAAAAAAAUUCAUUUAUAUCGUGUAAUCAAAUUAAACGAUUGAAUUGAAAAAAUAAAUCGUUUAUCCAAAUCUAAAAGAUCGUGUACCAAACAAUAGCAAAAUCUAAACGAUCGUGUACCAAAUAUAUUACGUGUGUUGUUUUAGGGCAUUUUUUAUAUUUUCUAUUGUGGAUUUGUGGGUUUUUCCGUUUUCAGAAUUGUUUUAUAAGGAUAAAUAUUUUGACACUUUAUUAUAUUUUUUAAAAGAUCCGAUAAAAUUUGGUAGUAUUAAAAUUUUCAUAUUUAGUUUUUACCAUCUUUAAUUAUAAGUAAGCUCGUUUUGAAAAUGGCAACUUAUUUGGAUUAAGCUUGUGUUUUCAAUUAUUUAUUUCUUUUUCAGUUUUAGAAUUUUAAAAAGUACUUAAAUCUUACGAACCGCUAUUUCCCUCCUUAUUCAACACACUUAGACAAAUUUUGAAAAGGGAAGAUGAAAUUGAAAACUAAAUAGAAGAAAGUUUUGUGAAAACCCAUUUUAUUUAAAAACAAAAUUGGUUAGAAAUUCAAAUAUUUAUUAGACACGUUUGCAAAAAUAGCAAAAUAAUUUAUAAUAACAGGAUUCAUAUUACUACAUUUUUUAAAUUACAAAAAUAGUAAAUUUAAAUAUGGAUAAUCUUAUAAUGACUCUCUGAUAGCUCCUUGAUAGCCGUAUCAUAUAUUUAAUUAUUUGUCAGAUUUGUUAUAUUAGCCGUAUGAAAAAAAGAUAUGUACUGCUUUUUUUUCUAUUUUUUUAAUGUAAUUUUUCUAUUUAUUAAUAUAUUAAAAGAAGCAUAGUAAAUGAUUAUGAAAUGUAAAAAAGGAAAUAUUAUAGAAAAGAAGACACGCUGCUUCGUGUGGAAGUUUUUCUAUUUAACGAUGAAUAAAAAAUUAAUAACACAAUUAUUGAGAUCAUCUUUUAUUUUUCUUUAUUUAUUAUUAUUUUUCUAAUACGUUUCAUGUAAAGCUUGGAAGUGAUGAAGUAUGAAUACUUUUAAAUGUUGGAAGGAACGUUCAGCAAGUAGAAUUGAGUUGAGCAAAAGUAACAAUUGGUCUGAAUUGAGUAAAUUAAUAAAAAAUUUAAAAUUUUCAGAAAUCAAAGCAUAAUUUUAAAGAAAAUAUGUGUUCCCUUAUUUUUGACCUACCUAGCUAGUAUUUUGUUUGAGUAAAGUACUUAGACAUUGUAAACUUUUAUCCAAUUUAGUUUUGUGUUCUGAACAAAUUGAAAUAUGAGGUCGAACAAACAACGGACACAAGGGUUUAGCAGAAGACUAUUUAUUUGACAAAGGAUUUGCAUGGAAUUCAAUGCCUCUCAUUUAGUUGAGAGAGAUUUUCGUCCAGGUCAUGGAAGAAUUUAUUUGUGGAGGCUAUGAAAAGGGAACACUUGGCUCUGGCCUACUUACAAAAACCUACUUGCUUGAACAUAAUUGGGUUCAUGAUUCUGAUUGGUCCUUAGAUCACGAUGACAGAAAAUCAGCUUCAGGUGCUAACACCUUUCCUAUACACAAUGGAUGAAAAGGUGGUUGAUAUUUUCGGCAUUCACCUUGCAUAGUGCAUACCAAUUCGGGUUAAGAGAUGGUUGAACGGGAUCUGUUGUGUGUUUGGGAUUUGGAUGCAACUUUUGUCAUAGAUGGCUCUGUUGACAGACGCUGCUGUGAAUAAACCACUAUUGCAUAAAUACCAGAUAAGUUUACUUUUUCCUGCAUUAGAGUUGAUGUUAGGGAAAGAAUCAAAUAUAGACUGCCAUGUAUCAAUUUCUCUUUGAUUUAACUAUCUUUUGAGUUGAAAAAAUCACUUGUUUGUGCUUUGAUCCCACUAUCUCUUUGACUGAUGCAUGCUGGUACUUGGCUAAAGCAUAUAGCCUUACAUAUUUUUUUGAUAGAGGGAUGUUACCACACCAGUUACUGUGCCAAAAAGAAAGUGUGUCUCCACUGUUGAUUUUCCAAGUCACUUUUCAAUCAAACCAAUCGAGUCUUUUUAAAAUUGACUUCUAGGGUGCUUUUGAUGAACUAUAUUUGCUGAUUCUUGGAGUGUCUCCAUCAAAUCUUUUUUUAUACUUUGCAUCAAUAGCCUUCGUCCAGGGAGCAUUGGGUUCUUGAGGAUAUCUCCAAAUCCACUUUGUUAAAAGAGUAAGAUUAGUAUCUCUUAUUUUGAAUAUUCCCAAGCCCCAUUUAUCCUUCGGUGAAGUGUAAAUAUUCCAAUUAACCAAAUGGUUUUUAGAGUCGGGAUUGUUUCCUUUCCAAAGUUAGUUCCUCCAUAAUCUUUCAAUCUCUAUGCCAAUCUGAAUAGGAGUUUCGAAGAGAGAUAGAAGAUAAGUAGGGGUGCUAGCAAGAGUGGAAUUUAGUAGAGUCAAUCUACCUCCUUUGCAGACUUGAGUAUAUUUCCACCUUGUGAGUUUCUUGUGGAUUUUUUCAAUAAUGUUUUACCAGAAAGCCUUCAAUUGCGGUUUACCACCUAGGGGGGUUCCCAAAUAGUCAAUGAGGAAGUUUUGUGGAGUAAAACCUCAUGAGUCAGCUACUUCCUUUGUUCUCACUAGAUUGACAUUGAUAGGGCUAAUGGAUGAUUUAUUUUUGUUGAUUUUGAGGCUUAAGGCCAUUUCGAAGAGCUUAAUAGCCAUCUUGAGGUUAUCCAUAUAUCUGUCAUUGUCCUCUACGAAUAUGAGUAUACCAUUCGCAAAUAAGAGAUGAGUAAGUAUGCAUUAAGCAUUGAAAACCACUCCCUUUAUGGACCCUCUCUCCUCCAAUGAAUUAAGUAGUCUGCUCAGGUAGUCUAGUGCUAGAACAAACAUAAAAGGUGAAACUGGAUCUCCUUGAUGAAUUCCUCUUGUCAAUUUGAAUCUACCUUGAGGUUUUCCAUUUAUUAGGAUGGAGUACUACACAUUACUGAUGCAAGCCUUUAUCCAUUUCCUCCAUCUGAUAGGGUAGCCUUUCAUUUUCAACAUAUAUUCAAUAAAAUGCCAAUUGAUUGUAUCAAAAGCUUUCUCGAUGUCAAGCUUCAUGAUGAAACCUUUAACCUUGGUUAUUCUCCAGAAAUCUAUUGCUUCGUUUGCAAUCAGUAUUGCGUCAGUUAUUUGUCUAUUGUUGACGAAAGCCAUUUGGUUUUCUGCUAUUGUCUCUUUUAGCAUAGACUUAAAUCUAGUAGCCAAUGUUUUUGCAAUGAUUUUGUAUAGAGACGUGAUUAUACCGAUAGGUCUAUAAUCCGAGGUCUUGGUGCACUUGCUUUUCUUGCCAAUUUGGGCUAUGUAUGUGCUGUUAACAUUUUUGUUGAUGAUGUUCUUUCUAUUAAAGUCAUUAAACACUUCCAUCACAUCAUGUUUGAGUAGUGACCAGUUUUGUUUAUAGAAAGAUAUUGUGAAACCAUCUGGACCUGGUGCUUUGCCAAUGUUUAGGGAGUCGAUAGUUGACUUGACUUCACUUUCUUUGAAUUAAGCACAAAGUCUACUAUGAUGCCUGGGAUUAAUAGGGUUCCAAUUCAGGUUGUUAAUCCAUAGAGUUUCGAGCUGACACAUUUAGUUUUACAUUAAGUAUAAAUUUAGGUUUUAACGACACUACAAAUCAAAACAUUGUGUCGUUAAAAAUAAAAAAGGGGUAGGAUAGGAGUAAAAUGUAUCGUUGAAAAUAGAAGUGACACAUUAUUCCUUGACACAAUUCUACUAUCACAAUUUAAUUUUUCUUGACACAUUUAAACUGUCGUUAAUUAACGACAAAUUCUUUGUGUCAUUAAAUAAAUUUUGAAAUAAAAAAACCAAAAAUUCAAAAUUUUUCAAUUUCCUCUUCAUACGACAUUCAAAAAGAGUUUUACAAUUUGCUCAACCUUUUCUCUCUCUCCCUACAAAAAAACGGGAAACAAUAUAACUCAUCUCCAAAUCAAAGAGACUGUCGUCAAAUCCACUAAUCUCACACCGUCGAACAAGAAAACAUUGUCUAAGGGACUGCCGUCGAACCCACCAAUCUAAGAGACUGCCGUCGAAGAAUCUUAGCCGCUCCGAUUUCUCUUCUCCCCCGGCUACUAGAAAAAUGGGUUUUAAUGACACUACUAAUCAAGAUACUGUGUCGUUGAAAAUAAAAAAGAUGGGGUGAGGUACAAUUGUGUCGUUGAAAAUUAUUUAUUGACACAAUUUAAUUUUUCUUGAUACAUUUAAAGCGUCGUUAAUUAUCGACAAAUUUGUUAUGUCAUUUAAAAAAUUUUGAAAUUAAAAAACCUCAAAUUUCAAAAUUUGUUAAUUCCCUCUCUCACGGCAAUUAAAAUUAUAUGACAAUAGCAUAUUUUCUCCCAACAUUUUCUCUCUCUACCGAAAACGCGAAAGCCUAGGCUCUCUCUACCUAUAUCAUGCAUAUAUUCAUUAUUUUUAUAAUUUCAUACAGAAUUAGAAUCUAGACUCUAUUACGAACCCAAUGCAACGAAAAUACUUAAAACAAAGUCCGAACAAACAAAAACGGCUAAGUUGAAGAUCAUAGACCAAUUGGUAAAUAACCAAAAAUGUACAAUAUUUCCACGCGCGUAAACACCUUAAGGUCGUGAGUUCGAAUCCCAGUCGUGCGCGCAACUUCUCCACUCUUCAACCAAUCUAUGCAUGCCAUGUGUCGUCUUCUCCUCACGUGGGCACCUUUGAUGUCCUGUGUUCGAAUCUCAUAGCCUGCAAAUCAUUUUUUCUCACAUAUUUUCAAUGGCAAUCUUGUAAAUAUAUAACAACUUGUAACGCCCCAAAAAAAUUAAGAUAAUUUAUUGGGCGUUAUUUUGAAUCCAUUUAAUGAGAAUUAUUUGAUUUAUGGGGGAUUUGAAAUUAAUUAAAUAUUUCUUGGAUGAAUAUUUAAUUAAUUAGAGGUUUUGGCACGUGGUGUUUGUUAAGUUUUUGUUUAAAUGGUAGGUUAAGAGAAUUAAGUAAAGUUGUGGAUUUUUAGUGUUGUUGAAGUUGAAUUUAAUUAAAUAAUUAUGGA